GACGUACUCCCUCCGUUUCAAAUUAUAGGUCGUUUUGAGUUUUCUAAAUACAUAUGUUUUUGUUAUAUCUAGAUACAUACAAAAACAUAUGUAUCUAGAAAAUCCAAAACGACCUAUAAUUUGAAACGGAGGGAGCACUAU
rfam:Dichanthelium oligosanthes cultivar Kellogg 1175 unplaced genomic scaffold Do_version_2_scaffold7139, whole genome shotgun sequence.